UACGAACUGCGCAAACGUUAUUCGGAAUCACUGGGCUUACAGGGUGCGUAGGCGGCCUUUCAGGUCCGAUGUGAAAUCCCACAGCUCAACUGUGGAACUGCAUUGGAAACCGGGAGGCUUGAGUCAGCUAGAGGGACACGGAACUUCCGGUGGAGCGGUGAAAUGUGUUGAGAUCGGAAGGAACACCAGAGGCGAAAGCGGUGUCCUGGGGCUGUUCUGACGCUGAGGCACGAAAGCCAGGGGAGCGAACGGG
rnacentral:misc_RNA from 1 species